GAAGGUGAAUUGAUUCAGGACAAUGGGAUAAGCUGAAAGGAAAGAGUGUUUGAUUGAUCUUCGAGGUAAUCAGGAGAAACACUGGAUUCAUGAAGGUCAAAAGGAGAAUACUAAACAGCGACAGACAGAGAGAGAAGUCACGAAGCGUUUGAGGGGCUGUCUGAAGUCGAAGAGGUGGAGUUUUGUUGUUUGGGCUUCAACUUCACACAAGCCCAAUGCUCGGCGCUUAGUUCUUCCUAUUGGGCCUAUAACAGCCCGUUAGCCGCGUCACCUUUUGAGAGAGUUAGGUGAGGCCGUUAUAACGGUUGGUGAGUCAGCUUCAUCUCGUUGGUGCGAUCAUAAUCUGAAAACAGAGAAAACAGAUCAGAGAGAGAGGCGAUACGAAGGUUGUUGAGAUCGAAGAGAAAGAGAGUCUCAUCUCGUGAUAGAAGAGCAAGGAACCGGCGGAGAAGAUUCCUCAGCUGCUUCUAUAGAGAUUCCGAUUACCUGUGGUGUAUUUCGGAGAGUAUGAGGUAAUACCGAGACUUUGUACCGAUCUAAAGAAUAUAGUGAAAGCUUGAGAGUUUCGAUCUCUCCCCAGACAGUAGGCAACGAAGUCUGGGUAAACAAUCUUGUGUUUUCUUUACGUUUAAGCUCGUACGUACCAAGAAGAUCUCAAAAUUGAACUAAAACCGUUAGACACUCGAAAACGAAUCAAGAUCGAUAGUAGCUAAAGGUCAACAGAUCUUAACUUGUUUUGGUGAUUUUUAUUCCAUAAGCUGUCAGAUUGAUGAUGUAUACAUUCAACAUCCGUAUGUUUUGGUUUGAAUAAUUGUCCGUCAAAUAAGUUGGUGAUUUAAUUGUUGCUUUCAAUCUCAAAUCAAAGAUUCUAAACUUUGAUGUCACUAUGGUUUCCGCAAAAGCCCCCUGCGUGCUGAACCGCUUCUCCCUCUCCUGUCACCACGAAAAUAAGUGACUGACGACAAUCUUGCUCUUUGGAUUAGAACAAGAACGAAAGGAUAAAGUGGGAAUAUAGGACACGAGAAGCACUGGUUCGUUAACAACUUCAGUUAGUGCGAAGAGAAAAGCUGUUUCAAGAAAAGUGACGUUCCAGAGUUACAUUUGUACGGUGUUUGGCCAGCGUGUAAUACUAAUAUGCAUCACAAUGGAUAUAUAGCUUAACAGUAAAUUUAUGAUCACAUGGUUUGACCCUCUUGCACUAUAUCUCUCUUUCGCCCCAUUCACUAGCACGAAUCUCUCUGAUCUCAUAUAAUUUUGUUGUUAUUUGUGGAACCAUUUUAAAGAUCAAAGCUCAUUGCUGUGUUCACGAAAUUUAAGCAGGUCUCUUGAUGGAAGCUUGACUGAUAGGUGAGUGUCCAUGCAGAUUUGACUCGAUGUUGUCUUUGAUAAUGAAAGAAUCAAGAACAAUAUCUUAUGAAGAUCACUAGGACCGCCAUAAGAAACCAGGACAAGCCGAAGUAAUCCUCUGCAGUCCAUGGCAAACGAAGCAUCUACAUCAAUCGGCGUCAGUUUACAGCACAAAGAUGCUUAGUGUUAUACGUUUCUCAGCUCACUCCAGGACUUACUUGGUGCGAGCGAUGGAGAGAAUUAGGAGGAGAUUUUGUUUCUUGGUUUUGGUUUCUGGCCAGAGAAGCAAAGAUAAUUCUUAUUCAGGUCAUUUCUUGCUUUUAAAUGUUUCUCAGAUUUUUUUCUGUAUCUGGUAUAGUGUUUCGAUUUAGAUUGUCAGCACUUGCCUUAAGUAUUGACAUGAUGCUCUAUCCACACUCCGGAGUCAAGUAGCUAUACGUUGGGAUCAAUGGUUACCGAGGAAACUCGAGGUAUGAUUCUUCGAGAUGGUUAACUGUUUUAUCCCACUGUCACUGGCUCUGUACCUAAAGACCAUGGAUUAGAUUUGGGUGAUCACUGGAGGAGAGUCAUGCAAGGUCACGCUGGAGCUAAUAUUAUGAGCUAUUAGGUAUUAUCACUGUCCAUUUUCAAAGUCUCUCAGUUUCCUCUUAUCGACUUGCUAUGGUUAAUACCAAAGAAUUUUCUUUUCACCACUCCAUCAUCUUUUAGAUCCAAAAUUACUCUCCCUAAUUUUAUCUACGAAUAUCUCAUUCCCUAAUCAAAAGAUGAGCUCUGAAUCAUCUGGAUCCAACCUUUGCCGGAACUGUGAAUCUCGCAGCGGUAGUCCUCAUCGCCUCGAAGCAACUCCUUAUAUGAGUUUUGAAUCUCGCCUCGAAGCAACACGGGUCUUCUUGGUCUCAAACGCACCAGUACCAAACCCGUGGUCUCUUCGUCAUGUAAGUGAAGAUAGCUUUAGUAAGUAUCAAGAACUAUGCAUAUAGGGUUUUUUAGUCUAAGGAAUCUUACUGUUAGAUGACCCCGCUGUUUGUGAAGCUCGUCGAAUAUUAGAAACUGUUGGGUGGAUUUACAUUGUUUUGCAUGUUCGCCCUUUUCUGUCCAAGAGUAGUCAGGGAAUGCAUUUCGAACCUAUACAGUGCCAAUGACGGAGUCUAUAUUAGGGGCUGCAUGUUUGAUUCGACCCUGUCGUGAUAAAUCAACUAUUUAUGACUCCAAAUGUCGAACACUCUCACGUUUGGAAGAGUGAUGAUCUCUCGGAGGCAACUAUAUUUUGAUGCUGACACCAAAAUUACUCUCCCUAAUCUCAUCUACCAAACUCUCAUUCUUCAGAGGAACAUUACUGCUCUUCCGGGUGAUGAACCCCUUAUUGGAAAUCCACUGUGUAUUAAUGGAGCCGAAGUAGACACUCACAUUCGAAGGGGUAGAAGAAGAGGCUGUGCCCGUCUCGGAUAGGACAGGCAGUUUACAUGAAACGUGUUUAACAUAACUUCUAGAUUAUUAUGUUUGAAGUACUACCUCGGCAAUAACUGAUCAGUUUUAAUUAUAUGCAUCUGUAUUUUGUUGAUUUUCUGUUUAAUAUUAUUUUAGCUACAAUAUUAUCGUAUUGAUUAUAUAUGUACAAGUAUACGGUAUACACCGUAUAUGGCCUUACACCUC